GGGGACGUGGCUCAGUGGAAAAGCCUCUGCUUCUCAAGCAGAAGGUCCCAGGUUCAAUCCCUGGCAUCUCUA